rnacentral:ribozyme from 1 species
UCGUCAAGAAGGGAGAGGCCGUGGCUGAGCUGAGCGACGAGGUAGCAAACGAGAAGAGAAUGCGCAAAGAGGUGGAAGAGCAGCUGUUCGCACUCGAAGAGCA